UUCUUUCUCCUCUCCUCCUCUUUCUCGAUCUCCUUCUCCUCCUUCUAUUUCUCUUCCCUCAUCUCCUUCUCCCUCAUCUCCUUCUCCCUUCUUGCAUUCGAAGAAUUCCAACAUGCAAUAGGUAUACUAUCUUCUUUGCAAGCCCAAAAUAUUGCACAUAAUCGAAGAAUCAAGAGUCAAGAAUCAAGAAUAUUGAUUUAGAUGUUUGGGGUUUUUUUUAUUGUGAUGUUGUAAUAUUUUUUUUUGAUUUAUAUUGUAGUUCUUUUUUAUUUAUUUAUAUGUGGUAAUUGUUUAAUUUUAUAAUUCGUAUAUUGUAAUUUUUCUUGAUUAUAUACUGUAAAUUUUCGGUUAUAUUCAAUGAUAUUCAAUUUUGUUGUUCUUA